CAGCCAGACUCCUACGGGAGGCAGCAGUAGGGAAUAUUGCUCAAUGGGGGAAACCCUGAAGCAGCAACGCCGCGUGGAGGAUGAAGGUUUUAGGAUUGUAAACUCCUUUUGUUAGAGAAGAUUAUGACGGUAUCUAACGAAUAAGCAUCGGCUAACUCCGUGCCAGCAGCCGCGGUAAUACGGAGGAUGCGAGCGUUAUCCGGAUUUAUUGGGUUUAAAGGGUGCGUAGGCGGGCUGUUAAGUCAGCGAUAAAAGCCGGGGCCACACCCCCGGCGAGCCGUUGAAACUGGCUGUCUUGAGAUGUCGAGAGGUAUGCGGAAUGCGCAGUGUAGCGGUGAAAUGCUUAGAUAUUGCGCAGAACUCCGAUUGCGAAGGCAGCAUACCGGCGGCGAUCUGACGCUGAGGCACGAAAGCGUGGGUAUCGAACAGGAUUAGAUACCCGCGUAC
rnacentral:rRNA from 1 species